UACUCGAGUGGCGAACGGGUGAGUAACACGUGGGUGAUCUGCCCUGCACUUCGGGAUAAGCUUGGGAAACUGGGUCUAAUACCGGAUAGGAGCCAUCUUUAGUGUGGUGGUUGGAAAGUUUUUUCGGUGUGGGAUGAGCUCGCGGCCUAUCAGCUUGUUGGUGGGGUAAUGGCCUACCAAGGCGGCGACGGGUAGCCGGCCUGAGAGGGUGUACGGCCACAUUGGGACUGAGAUACGGCCCAG
rnacentral:rRNA from 1 species